rnacentral:lncRNA from 1 species
UGUGACCAGGCGCAUCCUGUACAGCUGUGGCAGCCAGCCAUACUUACAGAAGUGCAAACAUGGGCCUUGUUACCUUCUAGGAUCAGUAGCCCCUGGCAUUCCUGGAAGUUUUCUGUCCUUGGGCAAGCAGGGCUACCAGGUUAGAGACAUUUUUUUUAAAAUAGGUGUCUUAAAUGUAAAGCACCACCACUUUAGCCCUCAUACAAGGAGAGCAAUCUGAGGCUUCUACUUCUGAAAAAUUUCUACCUCUUUCUCAUAAGUCCAGAAUAGAAGAAACCUUAGAUCAAUAUACCAUCAGUGGUAUAGGUCAGUGACAAUCUCUUUCCCAAUACUUAUCGCUGAAUACUUGAACCUGUUACCAACUAUUCAAGAUAUAGAGGAGAAACUCCAUCAUUGGGAGAACAAUCCUUUGAAGAGAAGUUAGGCAUCAUCAUUAGAGCCAUUUGGAAAAUCACCCGUCAUAUGGCUGAGGUUUCAGAAGAAUCUGCUCUGUCUUGGUCCAGACAAACCCACAGAUGCCUCAGAAAGGUCAUAAAGACAAAAAGAAGGAGACAAGCGAGGAGAGAGAAUGAGUGCAGACCUACGGCCACCCUCCCCCCACUACUCCAGUGCUGCCUUAACUAUGCAGAAUGAAGACCCUAGAUCAAAAUCUGACCCUGCUCUCUACUCAGGAAGAUGAGCCCAACUUUUGCCCAAGGACAGAUCUUGAGCAUCUGAAGUGUCAGUGAGACAUAUCAGAAAUAUCAGAUGGAGUCCUAAGGGCUUUCAAGAGUCCUAGGCGCUCUCUCUCUCUCUUCUCUCUCUCUCUCUCUCUCUCUCUCUCUCUCUCUCUCUCUCUCUCUCUCUCUCUCUCUCUUCUUUGAAGUGACAUCAUUGUCAUCAGCACCACUCUAUUUUGGUCAUUCCCUAAACUAUAUUUAGCUGACUUUGUCAGGGUAAUUUCUCAGUAGAAAGGUAGCCUUCACACUGGGGACAAAGAUUUAAGGCCCAGUCUGCUGAGCCCUGUGGGCAGAAAGAAACUGGAGAUGUCAAGUGGAAUAGAUACAGAUGUCCUUUAUUGUGUCUACUAGUUGAAUUUAAUUUUAUAGUUUUUCAGUGUGCUAUUGUUUCUACUAGCUGAGUAAUUUUGUCAGAGAUAGUUGUGUUUAUUCUGAGAACUAGCCUGAGGAGAAAGUGAAAGCACCGUGGUUGUUAUCUCGGCCCUACCCUGCAGUGGAGUCGGCUCCCUACCUCCUUUCUCUAUGUUUUCCUUGCCAUUUGCCUGGCUUAUUGGGAAUGGAAAGUACACAAAUAGCCAUCAUUUUGGAUAGUGUGUCUUGGUACUAAUAACUAAAUGGAUACACCUUAUAUAGCUCCUCUCAUUUUCUUUUAUCUUUGGCCAGAGAUUAGCUUUUAAAUAUUUUGUCUUUAACAUUUUUUUUUUUUUCAAAAUUCUGUGUUUUCUCAAUUGGUUGGAUAGGCCUCAGGGUACAGUAGCAACUCUUCUCGUAUGGCCCACUCCUGCCCUCUGCUUUAUCCUUCAUGCCACCGUUAGGGUGUUCUUCUGAAUUGGGUUGGUAUCUUCCUGCUCUCUGUGUUAAAACAAUAGUUAAACACAAGACGAUGACUCUUCCUUGUCAUUCCUUAGCCAGACUGUCCCAGAACCUGGAAUAGGUUCUGAGGAUGCUAACAGAGGUAAGUACAGGGUGAAUGUCUCCUUUUGAAAAGGCUUGAGAUUGAAAAUGUUUGGGGUUUCAGAUUUGCUUAUAUGUAAAUGAAGUGUCUCGGAGAGAAGGACAAAGCCUAAGCAUGAAUUAUAGUUUAUGUACACAGUAUACUGUUAAACUGAGGGCAGUUCUGUAUAUCAUUUUAAAUAAUUUUGUGUGUGGAAUAGUUUUGUGAAAUUUUAUACUUUUCCCUUGCUAUUCUUUUAAAUUUCUCUUUGAAUAGAAUCUAAUAUAGCCUAAGUAUGCUCCUGCCUCAGCCUUCCCAUUGCUGGAAUUGCAGGCUUGUACCACCAUAGGAUUUUAGAACAUCCAGAUUUUAACAUUAGGAAUGUUCCUCUUGUAUUUUUUUUUUAAUUCAAGCCAUUCAGUUUCCUCAUUGUUUAUUAUACUUAUUUUAUGUGUAUGAAUGUCUGCAUGUAUCUAUGUGGACUGCAUAUGUGUUAGAAGCCUGUGGAGUUACACAUGGCUGAGAGCUACCAUGUAGGUGCUGGGAACUGAACCCUCGUUCUCUUCGAGAGUAGCAAGUGCUCUUAUCUGCUGAGCUAUCUCUCCAGCUCCAGUUUCCCCACUGUUAUCCAGGUACAUUUGAUUAAUCUCUUCCCAGCAU